AUGAACCCUGGCAUAGGACAAUAUUUUACCUAAAUCACCAGUAUUCCUGACAGUGAAAAAGAGAAAGUCCUUGAGUACUUUGUCUUACCAUCUGGGCUAUAUUCUUCAGAUGCAGUCAGAACUGGAAGAACAUUGAUUAUAAGCUGAAUUAACUCCCUAAAACUGCUCUUCAGAAAGUAUGCUCAGGUCCAUUUCUGAGCUGAUAUAAAGAUGAUGUACUCCUUUUGAUGAAAGAGUGAGGCCAUGGGUCUGUACCACCUGCAAGAGUGGCAGUGUUCCUCUCUGGGAGAAAGAAACUCUCCCCACUCAGGAUGUGUAAAUCCAGGAGGCUAAUGCCUCUCUGAGUGCUGUUACUUCCAGUAGGGCUGCCUUGCUCUGUUAGUGGAUGCAACACUUAAUAAUUGCUUACAUCUGAGGCUUCUCCAACAGAGGUUCCUUCUUGACAAGGCUUGCUGAAGAGCAUUGCAAACGGUUACGAGGUGAGACAGUGAAGCCUGUUUUCCAAAACAAUCAGUUUGAGCCACAAAAGCUGAUAUGUUUCAUUUAAUCUUUGAGAUCUGGCCCAGGUUUUGCACAUUUUAGCACAAUCUUUGCCAGUCUCAGGCUGGAGAAGAUGGUGAUUUUCUCGAGGCCAGGGUUGUUUAUCAUUCAGCAAAACUAUCAGAAAUAUUUCAAUUUUCCUGCUCUUUGCACAAGACAUAGUAAAUUUUCAGUAUCAAGUUCCACUCAACCCUAAAUCUCAUGGAAUAUUCUAAACACCUGAUAGUGUUACUGAGUGUUGUACAGAUGGCAACACGAGGAACAUCCAGUACAUGGGAAAGUGAAGGCUACCUUUUGCUAGUGCAGAAGAAUUUAAUUUCCAUUUUCCCCAUUUUUGCUGUACUGCAUGUAGAGCUUUAAUU